GAUGAAGAACGUAGCGAAACGCGAUAUGUAAUGUGAAUUGCAGAAUUCAGUGAAUCAUCGAAUCUUUGAACGCACAUGGCGCCUUCCAGUAUCCUGGGAGGCAUGCCUGUCCGAGCGUCGUUUCAACCCUCGAGCCCCCGUGGCCCGGCGUUGGGGAUCUGCCCAGGCAGUCCCCGAACACCAGUGGCGGACCCGUUACAGGCCCUUCCCUUGCGUAGUAGCAUUCGCCUCGCAUCGGGAGCCGGCGGGCUUCCAGCCUCUAAACCCCCAUCAAGUCCGCCCCGGCGGCACCAAGGUUGACCUCGGAUCAGGUAGGAAUACCCGCUGAACUUAAGCAUAUCAAUAAGCGGAGGA
rnacentral:misc_RNA from 1 species